GUUUGAUCAUGGCUCAGGAUGAACGCUGGCGGCGUGCCUAAUACAUGCAAGUCGUACGGAAGCUUUGUAUUCGUACAAUGCUUUAGUGGCGAACGGGUGAGUAACGCGUUGGUGACCUGCCCCGAAGAGAGGGACAACAGCUCGAAAGGGCUGCUAAUACCUCAUGUGGUCGUAAGGGUUAGAGGCCUUACGUCUAAACGGAGUAAUUCGCUUCGGGAGGGGCCUGCGUCCCAUCAGCUUGUUGGUAGGGUAAUGGCCUACCAAGGCGACGACGGGUAGGGGACCUGAGAGGGUGACCCCCCACACUGGCACUGAAACACGGGCCAGACACCUACGGGUGGCAGCAGUAGGGAAUAUUGCACAAUGGGCGAAAGCCUGAUGCAGCAACGCCGCGUGCACGAUGAAGGCCUUCGGGUCGUAAAGUGCUUUUCGGGGAGAUGAGCAAGGACAGUAUCCCCGGAAUAAGGAUCGGCUAACUACGUGCCAGCAGCCGCGGUAAAACGUAGGAUCCGAGCGUUAUCCGAAUUUACUGGGCGUAAAGCGCGUGUAGGCGGUUCGGUAAGUUGGAUGUGAAAUCUCCUGGCUCAACUGGGAGAGGUCGUUCAAUACUGUCGGACUAGAGGGUAGGAGAGGGAGGUGGAAUUCCCGGUGUAGUGGUGAAAUGCGUAGAUAUCGGGAGGAACGCCUGUGGCGAAAGCGGCCUCCUGGCCUAUUCCUGACGCUCAGACGCGAAAGCUAGGGGAGCAAACGGGAUUAGAAACCCCGGUAGUCCUAGCAGUAAACGAUGUGGACUUGGCGUUGGUGGGGUAAAAGCCAUCAGUGCCGAAGCUAACGCGAUAAGUCCACCGCCUGGGGACUACGGCCGCAAGGUUAAAACUCA
rnacentral:rRNA from 1 species